rnacentral:lncRNA from 1 species
AAAGUGGAAAUUAAUAUUUCAAAGUUAGAAUUUUUUUUUGAGUAAAUCGACUGGAUUUAUAAAGAAGAAUCAAAACAUAGACUGUCUCACUUGAACAAUGGACCAAGGAGCAGACAUAAAAGGAUAAGAAAUAAAAGAGAAUCGGGCCUGGAAAGCCCAAGACCUCCUAACUGGACAUCAACAAAGAUAGCCCAAACAAAACCAAAUUAAAAUUAAAAUUAAAAAAAGGAAGAAACUUCCAGCCGAUAGGAAAACAGCUAUAUCCCAAAACGUCUUAUCUCUUCAAUGCACCUGCACAGCUCUUUAACAGCAGAACCCUUCAAAUCCCCCAAAAUCUUUUAGCCUUCUGCUACACGUUUCCAAAAGAUCAUUUCAUUUCCUCAGUCUGGAGCCCGUGGCCUUCUCCUUUCCAGAACUCUUCGAACAUGCUCCGGAAUUCCCCCAUCCAGGUAAUGACCUUCAUUUUCUUUCAACGCUUCUUUUGCAAUCACAUGAGCAAAGGUGUUUUCUGACUUUGGAAUAUGGUGAAAGUUUAUUUUCUGGAAGAAAUGUUUCAUAUCUUGAAUGUCCCUUAUUAUAGCCCCAAUAAUCGAGUUAUCCCUGUCUGUACUCUGGCAUUUUUUUAUAACAGUUCUUGAAUCUCCAUUAAUGUCACACUCGUGAAGACCCAAUAGAAUCGCUAACUUUACUGCUUGUGCUCCUGCAUGUGCUUCCGCCGCGAACGGUGAGGCGACAUUCUCAUGGAUAACCGACUUUGAAACCAAAAUAUCCCCUCGCGUGUCACGAACAAGCAGCCCCGAGGCAGACCUGGAGAGAUGUUGGUCAAAAGCCUCAUCGAAAAAAAUGACUACUCUCGUCCUUUGAUCUUCAUGGGUAAAAAUCCUUCCUAAAUCAGAGAUAAGUAAUUUUUUUCUAAGCUUUGCAACUCUGAGACAUAACUAUUUAUUUGUCGAGAGAUUUCUCUGCCUGAUCUAUUUUUACUUUCGUGCAGCAAUUGAUUCCUGUUUGACCAGAGAAGCCAAAGCCCACAACAAAAUAAUCGGCACUGUUCGGUUGUUCCUCGCUUAAAGACCCAGGUGAGCCACUCCCAAAUACUCUGAAUGCUAUUAUUAAGCACCCAAGAGAAAUUUAAAUACCUCCAAGCAGCUGCCGAUGUAGGACAUAUUCUGAAAACAUGAUUGCUGUCUUCCUCUAACUACCGACAUCUGGGGCACCAGGCUUCAUUUGUAACUCGCUUCAAUUUCAGAUUAUCUAGCGUAGGGAUAUAAUUCCAGGAAAUUUUCCAGAUUGUAACUUUAAUUUUCGAAGGAAUGUGUAAAUCCCGUAGUUUUUUGUAAAAAGCUGUGUUUUCGGUCUCUAAAAUAUUAUCACUAGGAAGAGUAGUCCUGUAACACCCUUAUCUCGUAACCGUCGCCGGAAUAGGACGAGACGUUACCAGAAAUUAGGAAUCUGAUCAGAACACGGUAAAAUUUUGAACCCUUUCUUAAAUAAAAGAUCAUUUAUUUAUAUAACUAAUAGACACAAACAAAGAUCGAAUUUAAAACUUAUAAAAGUAAACUUCCAUAAGAUGCCAUAUUCGCAUGGCUUAUAUACAAUAGUCAAAAUAUCAUUCUACUUAUAGUCUAUCCUAUACAUGUCAUAAGCUAAGUCCAAAUCACAUGAUUACUACAAUAGUAGAUAGUGUGACGAAGUGCUGACGACCCCGAGCUAAUAGUAAGAGUCAACAAUUUACAAAAAUAAACAGAGAAACAUAACAUUCAAAGUAAGCUUUCAUAAGCUUAGUAAGUCUUAAGCAAUUUAAACAGUUGAACUUAAAAACAAACUAAAUGUUCGAAAUCACAUAACACUUUCUGAGUACAAUACUAUUUGGUCGAUUAUGCACAAACACAUAUCAUUUUACUCCGUUUAUACUCAAACUCAUAUAAACAUAGUAUUUACAAGCUUUUGGAUUAACUUUAAUUCUUUCAAAUUUCACUAGUGUAUCAUUUCUUACCCACACUUACUUUCAACAUUCAUAGUUAAAUGGCAUAUCGAAAACUAUCUUGUAACUUUACAUAAUAACUGAAUGCACACAUAUACAAAUAUACAUAUGAAUUUACAACAUUUUUUCAUAUGCUUCUCACCCGUCAGAUCAAUCUCACAUAUAAUAUAUAUAUGUAUCAUAUACCAGAAUCACUUAAUGUGUAAUACGAGUUCAAUUUAUCAUAUUAGUAUAGGAUUUCGUAGUCAUAUACUUUAUCAAAUUCACUAACACUUGGCCUGCGAGGUAUAAAACCUGAACAUAACACCAGCACGAAGCCUACGGGACUUUAAACUUGGAUAUAAUACCAACACUAGGCCUGCGAGAUUUAACCCGGAUAUAAUACUAGCACAAAGCCUGCGGGAUUUAACCCGAAUAUAAUUCUAGCAUAUAGCCUGCGGGUCUUUAAGCCCGGAUACACAUCAAAUAUCAUGCAUAUUUAAUCAUAUAUUAACACAUCUCAUUCAACAUAUCACAUUAGUAGUCAUUUGCUACAUUCGGAUAUAAGCUUCAUAUGAAUACUAUCAUUUACAUUUCGAUUCACACCAAUCAUCAAAUUCAUUUAAUUCACAUUUACUUAAUUAGGUUGUUCGUACCUGAAUAAUUUACUUUACGGAACGAAUCCACAUAUCGUAUUAGCCCAUAGUCUUAUAGCACCACACUCUUAACAAUUUACCUCAUCGAAGUUCACAUUUAAUCAUUUUAGUGCCAAGCCAUAUUCGGCUACCACAAAGGACUAAUAAUAAUAAUUUUAUACACAUCAUGGUUUCCUUUAGAUAUUUAAUAAUCACAAAUCGUAAUAUCUCUACUAGUACAUAUACGACAUAGUUUAUUCAUUGUAACACUCAUUUAGUGCAUCAAAUUUCUAAAUCCAAUUCAACUUAAGCAUAAUAGUCAUAAUCGGCUUAUAGCUUUAAAUCAUUACAUAUUCGACACAUUAACCAAAUAAAAUUUACAUUCUCCUUGCCAUAUUAAUUUAACUCUUAGGCAUAUAAAAGGGAAUCAAGCUUAAACACUUAAGAACUUACCUCGAAGGUUGCCGAACGAUUACAACGGCUAUUCGAUUACUUUCUCUUUUCCUUUAUUUGAAUUUGCCCCUCUAUACUCUUGAGCUUAAAUUCAAAGAUUUUAAACUAGUCAUUAUUCAACUAUUCAAGCAUCACUUUCAAAAUAUAAUAUAUAUAUACAUUCAACUUUCACACCUAUUGAUCGUAGUAAGCUUAUAAGAAAUCAAUAAGUAACUCGUUAAUAAUUUUUUUUGUCAAUGUUUACCACAUAAUUAUAAUUCUACUGCAAGCUGUCUUCCUGAGCAACAGUCACUAAAUCAUUUAUAACUGGAGCUACGAAAUUCCAAAUUAAGUGUCGUUAAUUUUUUCUGAAAAUAGACUCAUAUAUAUUUUAUCCAUAAAAUUUUCAAAAUUUUUGGGUUAACCAAUCAAUACAUUUUUCUUCAAUUUUCCUUUGUUUCAUUGUUUGACUAAUCUGACCACUCUUCACUAUGAAUUAAAUUUCUCAUUGUACAGAAUUCAAAAUAUAUUCUCGUUUAUUUCAUUUGAAACUAGACUCAUUAAGGAGUCUAAGAAUAUAAAUUUCAUCGUAGGACCAUUUUUGUACAAUUUAUAAUGAUUUUAUAAAAACAGAACAGAGGAUCUAGAAGUUAUUCUGACCCUGUCCCACAUCACUUCAAAUAUCUCAUUAUCGGAAAUUCUUUUGUUUACACGGUUUCUUUUAUAAUAAACUAGACUCAUUAAUCUUUAAUUACAUAAUUUAUUAUGCUUUUAACUCAUCUCCCAUAAUUUAUGGUGAUUUUCCAAAAUCACGUUACUGCUGCUGUCCCAAGUAGAUUUAUUACCAAAUCACUCUUUCACACAUACCUUGCAUGCAUGUUAUUUAAACAUGCAUAUCACAAAUCCAUUAUCACAUACCUAUAAUUUCACUUAAGCAUAAAUUCCAUUUCAUCAUUUUAAAGCACAAACAUUACUCAAUAUUAUCCAAGUUCACACACAACAUGUUAGUCGAUUUUCCCCCUUAGCAUCUAAGGCACAUGCAUGCUCAUUUGCUUGGCUCAAUUUCACCUAUCUUCCAUUAUUCAUCAAAAGAACAUGAAACAACAAUCAUUUCCCUUAUUUCAAUUCAUGACCGAAUGCUCACAACACAACCAAAAAUAAAAAACAUACUUCAUGAGUUAAGGUAUAAUCAAGAAGCACCCAUGAACAUCAAAAUAGAAGUAAAGUACCAAGAACUUACCUUCAAUUUUCCUCUUAAUGACCAAAUAUUCAAGGGUUUCUUCCCUUAUUUGCUCUCUCAAUUUUCAGCUACGAAGAACCAAGAAUGAACAAAAACCUUCCUUUUACUUCCCUUUUGUUAUUCUUAUUAUUCUUUAUUCCUAAACAUUUUAUUCCUAAAUCUAUGCCAUAACUUCAAUAAAAAAAAUUUGCACAUGUUGUUCAUCAUGACCAUCAUCCAUUAUAAUUAUUAUAACGCUAAAAUACAUAUAUUAUCUAAUACCCAUCACCUUGGCCGGCCACUACACAUAAAAUGGGAGGUUUGACAUGCAAAUCCUCCUAUUUUACACUACUAUUUAUUUGGCACUACAAAUUAGCCUAUAGCAUUUUCAGAAAUUUUCACAUAAGUUCUAUUUUAUAAUUUCACUCACAGAUGACAAAAUCAAAUCAUGAAAUUUUCACACAUGCACUUUCACAUGUAAUAAUCACAGAAUAUAACAUUUAAUUAUUUUUGCGACUCAAUUUUAUGGUCCCGAAACCACUUCCUGACUAAGGUCAAAUUAGGCUGUCACAAGUCCUUUGUAAUAGUUUGUAGGCACUUCUAACCGAAAAGGUACCUGAUGGCUCUCUACCCUAAGCUUGGAAGUCAUCAUGUACAGACCUUGCCAAAGGGAUCAACAUAAUAUUCUUUGCAAUAUCCUCAUCUAAGGUAUUAAAAAUUAAAUCUGUUUUCCAUGUUCUAUUUCCUUCCUCAAUCAAGCCUGAGACUAACUCAAUAUCUGUAUUUCCUCUUUGAUGCUGUAACAUUUCCUCGUCGUAACCUGGUAUCCAGCGAUCAUCCCAUAUGGAGAUACAAUUCCCUUUGCCUAUCCUCCAGCAGUCUUUUCUCCAGGACUCCUCUGGCAGACCAAAUACCUUUCUAGGUAAGCGAAGGUAGAUUUCCUAAUCGCGCCUUUAAAAAAUCUGUCGACGCAUAAUACUUGGCUUUCAAAACCCAAGCUAACAAAGAAUUCGGAUGAGUAAUUAAACGCCAACCUUGUUUAGCUAAUAACGCAAUAUUAAAAUUAUCAAGUUUUCGGAAUCUAAGACCACCUUCUUCUUUGGAAGUACACAUAUCCUUCUAGGCACACCAAUAAAUGUCUUUCUUAUCCAUACUUUUUUGCCACCAAAAUUUUGCGAUUAAUCUCUCCAAUUUCGUACAUAGGGACUUAGGAAGUAGAAAGCACGACAUAGAAUAAGUAGGAAUGGAUUGAAUAACCGCUUUAAUGAAAACCUCCUUACCAUCUUGAGAAAGAUGUUUAAUACUCCAAUUAUCAAUCCUCUGUUGCAUUUUGUCUUUCAAAUGUUGAAAAGACGCUCGUUUCUUUCUCCCCACCAAAUUAGGCAAACCUCAAUACCGUUCAGGAUCAGUUGAACAGCGUACCUCAAGUACUCUAGUUACCAAGCUUAUAUCCCUUUCUCGAGUGUUUGCGCUGAAAAAAAUCGUAGAUUUGGAAAAAUUAACCUUCUGUUCCUAACAACCUUCAUAUUCGUGCAACACUUACUUUAAAAAAAUCACCCCUCUUUCUGUAGCCUCACCAAACAGAAUGCAAUCAUCCGCAAAUAAUAAAUGUGAAACCUGUGGACCACUUUUGCUUGCCUUGAUACCACGGAUGAUUUUAUCCUUCAAUGCUGAUAUCAUAAGACUAGAUAGGCCUUCCCUACAGAAUAGAAAUAAAAAUGGGCUAAGUGGGUCUCCUUGUCUAAGAGCUCUAGAAAGAUUGAAGGUGGAACUAGUAAAACCAUUAAAAAUUACCGAGUAAGAAACUGUAGUAACACAUUUCAUUAUCAAGUCUAUCUAAUCGGAGUCAACACAUUUUCUUCAUGACCCUUUCGACGAAGCCCCAUUCAACCCCGUCAUAUGCCUUGCUCAUAUCCAAUUUAACUGCCAUAAAAUUUUUCUUCCCGACUCUUUUAUGUUUCAAAGUAAGAAGUUCGUAAGCCAGAAUCACAUUAUCAAAAAUUAGUCUCCUUGGCACAAAAGCACUUUGUGCUAAAUCAAUACAUUUAUCUAUCACCAAUCGGAGAAGAUUUGCAAUAACUUUUGCUAUCAAUUUUUAUAAUACAUUACACAAACUAAUAGGACGAAAUUGUGUAAUAUUAGAGGGAUUCACGAUUUUUGGGAUUAACACAAUAUUUGUCUUGUUAAUUAAACUUAGAUCCGUACCUUCAUUCAACACGUUGAGACAAUAAGACAUGACAUCCUCGCCAAUAUUUGGCCAGCAUUUUUGAUAGAAAAGUGCUGGAAAAUCGUUCUCAUCUGGUGCUUUUGUAGGACCCAUCUCUUUCAAUGCAUCAAGAAUUUCCUCCUUUGUAAAGUUAGCCCUAAGUUUUGAAUUAUCCUCCUCAAAAAUGCAUCGAUCAAUGCUUGACAGAAUGUGAUCAUAGUUUCCUCUCUUUUUAGCUAGAAACAGCUCCUGAAAAUAUGAUCUUGCUAUCCCCUCCAUUUCUUUAAUAACUUCAGUUUCCCUCCCAUCAUCAUAUUAUAGCUUCCGGAUACAAUUCUUUCUUCACUUUGUGUUGCCUGCCUAUGAAAAAAGGCAGUAUUCUUAUCCCCUAGUUUCAACCAGUUAACUCUCGCCUGUUGCUCCCAAUACCUCUCGUCCUUUUCAAUCUCAAAAUUAAGGUCUAUCUUCGUAUCAAUAAGAUCUGCCAGAUUCUCUUCGCUUCUGUCUUCUCCUAACAAUUUUGUCAGCUUUAAAUGUAACAUCUCCUUCUUUGCUUUUCUAUUGUAUCGGAUUUUAAUCGCCCAUUUGAGCAACCCUCUUUGGACAUCUUGUAACUUGUUUAGUAAGUCACCUGAGGAAAUUUCCCAGAUAUUCUUGACUUCACCCAUAAAUGAUUCUUCUAACACCCAUCAUGCUUCAAAUUUGAACUUUCUCAUUACACACCUCUUAUCUUCACGUUUAGUAUUGAUGAGCAAUGGACAAUGAUUAGAGAAGGAAUGUGGCAGAUGCUUGACUUAAAAAUCUGGGAACAAAGCUAACCAGCUAUCAGUAGCUACACCUAUAUCCAACCGUUCUUGAAUAUUCGUCUCUGGCAAAUUACCCCUUUCCCAUGUAAACCAAUUCCCAGAAAAGCCAAUAUCCAUUAAAUUGCAAUCCUCUAACGCCCUUCUAAAUGCUUCCAUUCUUCGUUCCUCCCGCGGUGAUCCCCCUCUUUUCUCACAUCCAUACAUGAUCUCAUUGAAAUCCCCACUUACCAACCACGAGAGUUCCUCAGUUUCACUCAGUUGUCUUAAAAGAACCUACGUAGCAUCUCUAUCAUUAUGAUAAGAACCAUAAAAUUCGGUAAAUCUCCAUUUGGUUCCUUCAUCUACAUCAUCAACUAUCACAUCAAUAUGGCUAAUCGAAUAGAUUUGGAGUAAAACACUGACAUCUCAUUUCCAUCCUAAACACAAUCCACCUCUAGAACCACGUGAUCCGACUUCAAUCCCAUUUAAAAAACCACAACUUCUUCAAACUUUUUCCAUUUGACUCUUGCCAAUUUUUGUCUCCAUAAAGAAGACCUGUUGGGGAUUAUAUAACUUCAACGUAUGUCGAAGUUUUUGAACUGUCUGCUGGCUUCCCAAGCCACGGACAUUCCAGGUUAAGAUUUUCAUUGUGCUCGGUCGGCUUGCCUUUUGGCAGCCACCGAUAAUAAAUGGGUGGGUUCCUUUAUACCCUUAUUUCUCCCAUCCAUGAAGUUUACCCUAUCUUUUCCUGUCAAUCCUUCAACAUCCCCUCUCUGUCGUUUGUUUCCUUCCUCCCUCAUCAAUACACUAUCCUCAAGAUCAUGAUCCAUAGCAUUAAAACUAUCCGCCAUCCCUGAGUUCUCUCAUUGAAUGCGAGAUUUAUACCUUCUCCCUUCUAAAUUUAUUCCCAAAAUGGGAUCUAUAUUGCUUCUAAUUCCUAAUAUCGUAUCAGGAAUUCCUAGAUUAUUUCCUGACAUUGGACGUCCCUCCUGAUUCUCACCCCAUACUUCUUCCCCUUCCUCACGUAACCAAACACUCUUCAUAGUCAAGGCCUUUCGAGACUGAGCCCACAACGUUAUAUCGCAUCCCAUUUCUGCUACUUUGACCCCUAAUGCCAUUUUUGCUUCACAAAAUGAAUCACUAUAUCCCAAACGACCACAAUAGAAGCAAAAGAGAGUCAGUUGUUCAUAUUUAAAUCGAACAUAUGAACACUGACCAUUAAACAUAAGUUGCUUCUUUCUUCUCAAAGACCGCCUUAUAUCUACUUAAACUCGAAUUCUCAUAAAAUUGUAAUUCUCUUUCCCCAACUUAGAACCAUCAUACUCCAUAAAAACCCCAAUGAAAUUCCCAAUUUGCAGCGCCAAUUGUUCAGAGAAAAACCAAAAGGAAUAUCAUGGAUUUGAACCCAAAAGGGUGAAAAAAUUAAAGGGACUUUCAAUGGAUCUUCCCUGCCUUGCAACUUGUAUAGCAACAGUCAAUGGUUGUUAAAGGUUCAUGGUGAACCCUUUAAAACUCUUUCCAUAUCCAUAAUAUGAAAAAAUUUAAACAAAUACCUUUUUUCCCCUAAAUCUCGAAUUUGAACACCACGGACAGGAUGUCACAAGUUUGCCAUUGUACUUUUCAUUGCUGGAAAAUAGAUGACACUAGCUGUUAAAAAACAACCCACUAAUUGAAAGAACCCCCUCUCCCUUUCUGGAUCUGUUUCCAUUGAAUUUGCAAAACCUCAUCUUCCUCAUUAAUUGAAAGUUCAGCAAAAUCAGAUUCCAUAAUUGAUACUCGUGACGAAUAACUACUGUGUGAACCCAAGACAAAAGAUGCAAAAGGGCACCACUGCGUCGACCAAUUAAUACAAGGACAAAAACAAAAAACCCUAAAACCUGCCAGAGAUAGUAGACAGAGACAUGUUAGAGAUAGCAGACUUGGUUUCAACAUUUAAUAUUAUUAUUAAAGUUGAAUUUUUCCGCUAACUAAAAUUUUGUUUAAAUUUUAAUUUAUAAUGAGGUUUAAAUAUAAUAAAUAAGAACAUAAUUUAAUUUAAUAAAAUAGUUAUUUUUAAAAAAAUAAAAUCUUAUCAUUAAUCUAGUUGACUAAAAUGAUUAAUUCUUUGAUAUACCUAACCAAAUACACAUUUCCAGUAAGGCUAAAUCCUGAUUAGAAAAAUAAAAAAAUGUUGUCGCCUUUUACUUUUUCCUCCUUUAAACUUCUACAAUUGAAAAUUGCGGCAAAAUAAAUUAAGAUAAGAAGAUGAUGUGCUAAUUAUUGUUGUUUCUGGUAAUUGUAGCGGGUUUAGUAUCGAUAAAGGUUUCUUUUCGAAAUUAUUUACGGAAAUCAACCGCUUUUAAAAAUAAAAAUGGGAUAGAUUAAAAUUUUAAAAAUGCGCUGAUGUGAACAUAUUUUCAAGUGAUAAUGCAAAAAUAUAUUUCUACAUCAGCGUUUUUUUUUCUUUCAGGCAAAAGCGCGCUGACGUGAACAUACUUUUGACUGUGUAAUCUCCAGUGGGUUAUUUGCUAAUUAGAGCCUAGAUUUAGGGUUUGAUUAGAGUUUAGGAAAAUUUAAAUUGUGGUAUUAGGUUUUUAAUUGUUUAUGGUUUAGAGUUUAAAGAGAAAUUUCUUGGAAAGUAUAAAUAAUAAUAAUUCAAACAAAAAUAAAAAUUUUAGAGAGCUUUGAGAGUUUUUUUGAGAAAUUUAGAGAGAAAUUUAAAAGAAUAAUAAAGUUUAGUGUGAAAAAAUGGGUCAAGGUUUUAUACUUUUUUUUUAAAAAAAAAUUUACCGUUGUGGGAAAACAUGGCCAAAAGCGAAUCCUCGUCAGUGCUUUUUAGUAAAGCGCGUCUACGUAAGUGUGCUUUUGUCUGGCAUAAGGAAAAAAGCGCUAAUGUGGAAGUGUUUUUUUGUGUUAUCUACUAAAAAUGUGUCCAUGUUAGCGAAUUUUUAAAUUUUCAGUCUAACCCAUUAUUAUUUUUAAAAACGACCCAUAUUCAUAAAUAAUUUUGAGAAUGAGCCUUUACUGGUACUAAACCCAAUUGUUAGCACUGUUUAUUUUCAAUAGCUUGGAAAAAUUAAUUUGAUAGUAAUGUGAAUUUUUCUUAGAAAAAAAUCACAGUAAAAAGUAAAAAAGAAUUAUUUUUAAGCGAACAAAUGAUUUCGAAUGAUCAAAAUUCACGAGUUAGUACACAAUUUAGUUUUAAUAGAAUUAUUUUUUGGUCGAUUAAGGCUUUUUAAAUUUUGAUUAACGAUUAAUUCAGUUUAAAAUUAUUAAUAAUAAAAAAGGACCAAUAUAUUAUAUAAGGUCAAAAUAUAAAAAUUAAAUAAUAGAUUUAAAUCUAAUUGGAUUUAUACACUGCAUUUAAAAUCAUAAUAGAUUUACAUAUUUUUAAAUUAAAGUAUAAAUAAAUAAGUAAAAAAAAUUGAAGAAAGAGAAGCUUUUUUUUUUUUGUUUCCAUGUCAAACUCAAGUUUGGGCGGACGUUAUUUGACAUCAAAUCAUCUUAUAUUCUUCUUGAUUUUUUUGUUGGUUUUUUUUUUCAUUUUCAAAACUUUCUUUCUUUUUUUUUUUAUUAUCACUCAAGUCUCGUUUUUUUUUGGAUGUAGUGUUUAUUAUGAUGGUUUUAAAUUAGUGUUGUUAUUGUGUUAUUUAUUGUUUUUAUUUUCUUUUUUGAAUUAAAAACAAAAAAAUAAUAUUGUAAUGAUAAUUUUUUUCAUGUUUUAAAUUUAUUUAAAAAGAACAUGUAAAAAUUUCUAUUAAUGUAAAUUAUUUCAAUCAGUUAAAAUAUUUUGAAAAAUUUUUAAUUUAAUUAACGAUUAAAACUUUUAUGACUUUUGGAUAUUAACCCUUCCGGUGGUUUUGAACACACUUAAGUACAACAUCGUAGAGACAAGAAGCGUGUUUAAAUCACGAUCCUUGCAGACGCGUGGCGCCUACCUCAAUCGUGUUACAUGUCAACCAUGCACGACACCGUCCUUGGAGUAAGCGACCGCAGAGGAACAAGAAAAGCGUAAUGACUAAAAAAGGCUAACGGAACAGUAAAAGGCACCGAGUCUACGCCACGCGCUAACAAGGUGGGAGUACUGUGCAGUAACGUGCCUCCUUGACUCACGUGCAAACAACGUGCCCUUCUUGGUAAUAAUAACAUAAUAAAAAUUAGAUUUAUGAGACACCCUAAUGUAAGUAAAAAAAUUGUAAAAAUUAAAAUUAAUUUAUGAUUUGAUUAUAAUGAUUAAGAUUUUGUAUCAUGUUUUGUAUUUAAAUGUUAUUAUAAUUAAAUUUUUAUUGAUUUAUUAUAUGAAAGUGAUAAAAAAUUA